ensembl:lncRNA
AUGUUUGCUGUGAGUGAUAUUGCAAUGUUUUCUCAAAAAUACUUAACUGCAGCUCAUCAGAAAAAUUAUUCCUUGGCUUCCUUCGCAAAAACAUAGUGUCAAAAAUAGACGUGAGAUCUCGUUAUUUAUAUUGCUGAAGUACUGAAUGGCCCUGCCUGAGAACAGACUGUUCUUGCAUCAGGAACUACGCUGGGAGAUGGGCCUUCACUGAGGAACCAGCUUCUGGAGACGAGGCAGACGAGGAGAAGGAGACAAAUGGAGCAUCCUAAAACUGCCGCACAGAAGUGGUGGUGGAAUUCCUGAGCCGUUUUCCAGAGAAUCCCACCAUUUUCUGUUCACUCAUCUCUCCUCCCCAUCCUUCCUCUCUGGCAGCCAGGAUGGGCCUGGGAUGUGCUCCUGAUGGAAAGAGGUAUUUGGGAAAACCACAUCUUCCUGCCAGGAGCACUCAUGAACCCCUUGCAGAACUGCUGGAGAGUUUCUGGGAGCACAAAGCAGGGCUGACAGCCUUCCCACUGAAACUUCUCAUGCUGAAGAUGCUGGGUUUGCUGCUCAUCAACUCUGUCAUGUCAGCAAAUGACACUCUCAAGGGUUUCUUCUUUUGGCCUUCUCUUUUAAUGGCAUUUUUUCUACACUACCUGAGGUACUUUCUGUUCCCCAUUAAAUCUCCUGAAGUGUCAUUGUCCCCAGGGUGAAACAAGGAACCCAGUGACACUUCAGGAGGCUUCACAUGGUCCUCACUGAUAUGCCAUGCAACAAGAUGUGUGGAUGUGGCGCUUGAAGACAUGGUUUAGUGGUGGGUCUGGCAGAGCUGGACUCAAUGAUCUCAAGGGUCUCUCUCGACCUAAAUGAUCCUGUGAUUCUAAGAUGAUGUGAGACCUCUGGUAGGAGAAGAGGGAGGCCAGGACUCCUGACUGGGAGCUGGUUGCAAGUGAAAGUGAUUUGAAAAUUACCUGAUGGGAAAUGUCAUGUGUAGAUAAAAGGAGCAGAUGGGGUUGUUUAUUCUUAGCUGUCUAUGUGAGUUUUAAGCUGGGGGACCUUUCCAUGGCUGUGACCUAAAGAUUUCUGUCUUUUAUUUUUUUAUAUGAUCCUCUGAAAUGACUGUCCUUCAGCUCUUGAACUUCUGCCCUUCCAUAGGGGCCCCUUCAGUAGAAGUGGAUGAGGUGAUAUGACCUGGCUUUUCCUGGCAGCCUGCUCAGAAGGUGCAGCUGUGGAAAAUGAAACAUCUCCUUAUCUGGUACAAGGUCAUGCUAUGGGGAUACAGGCUUCUCUUCUGUGUCUUGUCAGCCUCAAAGGUGGGAAGAAAUAGUGUGUUGUGGCCUGAUGCUGUUGGGAGGACCGACCCCAAACCAGAUUUUACAGAGACACACUAGCAAGGCUUCCAGGACUGGGAACUUGUGGAUAUGAGCACUGUGAGUACCUGUUCACACUGCUGUGAUUUGUGGUGUGUUGCAACACUUUCUGGAAGUGUUUAGAUAACUUAAUGGUCCAUUUAUGGCAUCUGAAGAGACAGGAUUUGACACACCUUAGUCAGUGCUUUGAUGAGGAGAACUUUUGUAUUUAAUUAACUCUGCCCUGCAGUAAUGGGUGCGAGGCUGUGGAAGGCUGAGCAGGGAUAGGAACAACGUUGUCCAAGUCCAGAAAUGCAGAAAGAAAUUACAAGUUUAAUGGGGCAUGAAAUUAUCCAUUCUGUUUUCUUCAAAGUUAAUUGUGUUUCACAACAUAGUCUGACAAAACCCUGUCAGAAACCCAAAAACAUUUGCCUUCAGUGUAGGAUGCUGAUGUGUAGCUCUGAGGGCUGUUUGAAAAUUACUUGCCCCAGACACCAAAAGGCACCAAAGACUGCUCCCUGUUCCUCAGAAGAGUUACAGAUCCAGAUGGAGAGCCUAGAGCAUGCUAAAUUUGUUCUCUGAAUUUCUGAGUGUCAGUGAUGUAAGAAAUGAGAAACUCCAUGUCUCUCUUACAGCUGACAAAUGAUAGUUGGUAGUGAAUAAAUGGAUGACAAUAUGAUGCUCUAAGGAGUUG